UGAUAUGAUAAGUGAUGUGA
rnacentral:miRNA from 1 species